UCCGGAGAUUCCCAAAUAGGUCAACCUUUUAAACUGCCUGCUGAAUCCAUGAGCAGGCAAGAGACAACCUGGCGAACUGAAACAUCUUAGUAGCCAGAGGAAAAGAAAGCAAAAGCGAUUCCCGUAGUAGCGGCGAGCGAAAUGGGAGCCGCCUAAACCGUGAAAACGGGGUUGUGGGAGAGCAAUACAAGCGUUGUGCUGCUAGGCGAAGCGGUUGAGUGCCGCACCCUAGAUGGCUAAAGUCCAGUAGCCGAAAGCAUCACUAGCUUAUGCUCUGACCCGA
rnacentral:ncRNA from 1 species